rnacentral:rRNA from 1 species
GACGAACGCUGGCGGCGUGCUUAACACAUGCAAGUCGAACGGUAAGGCCCUUCGGGGUACGACGAGUGGCGAACGGGUGGAGUAACACGUGGGUGAUCUGCCCUGCACUUCGGGAUAAGCUUGGGAAACUGGGUCUAAUACCGGAUAGGACCACGGUCUGCAUGGAUUGUGGUGGAAAGCUUUUGCGGUGUGGGAUGGGCCCGCGGCCUAUCAGCUUGUUGGUGGGGUGAUGGCCUACCAAGGCGACGACGGGUAGCCGGCCUGAGAGGGUGUCCGGCCACACUGGGACUGAGAUACGGCCCAGACUCCUACGGGAGGCAGCAGUGGGGAAUAUUGCACAAUGGGCGCAAGCCUGAUGCAGCGACGCCGCGUGGGGGAUGACGGCCUUCGGUUGGUAACCGUCUUUCUAGCAGGGAC